AUACGUAGGUGGCAAGCGUUGUCCGGAAUUAUUGGGCGUAAAGCGCGCGCAGGUGGUUCCUUAAGUCUGAUGUGAAAGCCCCCGGCUCAACCGGGGAGGGUCAUUGGAAACUGGGGAACUUGAGUGCAGAAGAGGAUAGUGGAAUUCCAAGUGUAGCGGUGAAAUGCGUAGAUAUUUGGAGGAACACCAGUGGCGAAGGCGACUGUCUGGUCUGUAACUGCCCCUGAGGAGCGAAAGCGUGGGGAGCAAACAGGAUUAGAUGCCCUGGUCUUCCACGCCGUAAACGAUUAGUGCUAAGUGUUGGGGGGUUUCCGCCCCUCAGUGCUGCAGCUAACGCAUUAAGCACUCCGCCUGGGGAGUACGGUCGCAAGACUGAAACUCAAAUGAAUUGACGGGG
rnacentral:rRNA from 1 species